GCGAGCGUAGCACAAUGGAUAGUGUAGUAGCCUCCGAAGCUAUUGAUCUGGGUUCGAUUCCCAGCGCUCGCA
rnacentral:tRNA from 1 species